CAGUCGCCACGGGAAUACGAAGGGUGCAAGCGUUAAUCGGAAUUACUGGGCGUAAAGGGUGCGUAGGCGGUGAGUUAAGUCUGUUGUGAAAUCCCCGGGCUCAACCUGGGAGUGGCAAUGGAUACUGGCUCGCUAGAGUGUGAUAGAGGAUGGUGGAAUUCCCGGUGUAGCGGUGAAAUGCGUAGAGAUCGGGAGGAACAUCAGUGGCGAAGGCGGCCAUCUGGAUCAACACUGACGCUGAAGCACGAAAGCGUGGGGAGCAAACAGGAUUAGAUACCCCCGUAGUCCCUGUCUCUUAUAA
rnacentral:rRNA from 1 species